rnacentral:rRNA from 1 species
GACGAACGCUGGCGGCGUGCUUAACACAUGCAAGUCGAACGGAAAGGCCCUGCUUUUGUGGGGUGCUCGAGUGGCGAACGGGUGAGUAACACGUGAGUAACCUGCCCUUGACUUUGGGAUAACUUCAGGAAACUGGGGCUAAUACCGGAUAGGAGCUCCUGCUGCAUGGUGGGGGUUGGAAAGUUUCGGCGGUUGGGGAUGGACUCGCGGCUUAUCAGCUUGUUGGUGGGGUAGUGGCUUACCAAGGCUUUGACGGGUAGCCGGCCUGAGAGGGUGACCGGCCACAUUGGGACUGAGAUACGGCCCAGACUCCUACGGGAGGCAGCAGUGGGGAAUAUUGCACAAUGGGCGGAAGCCUGAUGCAGCAACGCCGCGUGCGGGAUGACGGCCUUCGGGUUAUGAACCGCUUUCGCCUGUGACGAAGCGUGAGUGACGGUAAUGGGUAAAGAAGCACCGGCUAACUACGUG